rnacentral:lncRNA from 1 species
CCCCAUGCUGUUAAUUUUUCAUUCAUUCCAUUCAAAUUUCUAUUAAAUGGAAGCAUGUGCACAACAUGUGUGGGUAAUUCGGUCGCUUCAUUCUUUAAAAUAAUUGAAAACCUUAGAUUUCUAUAAUAUAAACCUAUGCAAAUAUGUGUGAUUCUAUAGCUUUUGUGUCUGAAUGUCUAGUGAAGUAACGCUUUUGUUCACAAAUGAGAGUUACGUGGUUUGCCCAUGAUAAGAGUUAACGUUAAUUUGGAUGAAAU